CCCUUAGAGUUUGAUCCUGGCUCAGGACGAACGCUGGCGGCGUGCUUAACACAUGCAAGUCGAACGAAGAGCGAUGGAAGCUUGCUUCUAUCAAUCUUAGUGGCGAACGGGUGAGUAACGCGUAAUCAACCUGCCCUUCAGAGGGGGACAACAGUUGGAAACGACUGCUAAUACCGCAUACGAUCCAAUCUCGGCAUCGAGACUGGAUGAAAGGUGGCCUCUAUUUAUAAGCUAUCACUGAAGGAGGGGAUUGCGUCUGAUUAGCUAGUUGGAGGGGUAACGGCCCACCAAGGCGAUGAUCAGUAGCCGGUCUGAGAGGAUGAACGGCCACAUUGGGACUGAGACACGGCCCAGACUCCUACGGGAGGCAGCAGUGGGGAAUCUUCCGCAAUGGACGAAAGUCUGACGGAGCAACGCCGCGUGAGUGAUGACGGCCUUCGGGUUGUAAAGCUCUGUUAAUCGGGACGAAUGGUUCUUGUGCGAAUAGUGCGAGGAUUG
rnacentral:rRNA from 1 species